rnacentral:rRNA from 1 species
UGGGGAAUAUUGGACAAUGGGCGCAAGCCUGAUCCAGCCAUGCCGCGUGAGUGAUGAAAGGCCCCUAGGGUUGUAAAAGCUCUUUCGCCAGGGACGAUAAUGACGGUACCUGGAUAAGAAGCCCCGGCUAACUUCGUGCCAGCAGCCGCGGUAAUACGAAGGGGGCUAGCGUUGUUCGGAAUCACUGGGCGUAAAGCGCACGUAGGCGGAUCUUUAAGUCAGGGGUGAAAUCCCGAGGCUCAACCUCGGAACUGCCUUUGAUACUGGAGGUCUCGAGUCCGGGAGAGGUGAGUGGAACUGCGAGUGUAGAGGUGAAAUUCGUAGAUAUUCGCAAGAACACCAGUGGCGAAGGCGGCUCACUGGCCCGGUACUGACGCUGAGGUGCGAAAACGCGUGGGGAGCAAAACAGGAUUAGAUACCCUGGUAGUCCACGCCGUAAACUAUGGAUGCUAGCCGUUGGGCAGCUUGCUGUUCAGUGGCGCAGCUAACGCUUUAAGCAUCCCGCCUGGGGAGUACGGUCGCAAGAUUAAAACUUAAGGAAUUGACGGGGUCAUAGCUGUUUCCU